CCUACGGGCGGCAGCAGUGGGGAAUAUUGGACAAUGGGGGAAACCCUGAUCCAGCGACGCCGCGUGAGUGAAGAAGUAUCUCGGUAUGUAAAGCUUCAUCUGCAGGAAAGAAAAUGACGGCACCUGACUAUGAAGCCCCGGCUAACUACGUGCCAGCUGCAGCGGGAACAUGGAGGGGGCAAGCGUUAUCCGGAUUUACCGGGCGUAAGGGGAGCGUAGACGGCAGGGCAAGUCUGGAGUGAAAUGCCGGGGCCCAACCCCGGAACUGCUCUGGAAACUGUGAAGCUGGAGUGCAGGAGAGGUAUGCGGAAUGCGUGGUGUAGCGGUGAAAUGCGUAGAUAUCAGGAAGAACACCGGCGGCGAAGGCAGCUUACUGGACUGUAACUGACGUUGAGGCUCGAAGGCGUGGGGAGCAAACAGGAUUAGAUACCCUUGUAGUC
rnacentral:rRNA from 1 species